CCGCCUGCUCGCCUCUCCUCUCCUCCUUCCUCAGCCCAGCUGGGCGGGAAGAAGGCGAGGGGAAGAACGGGCUCGGUGCGGCCCCGCGGGGAAAGGGAACGGGGGGGGGGGGGGCUCAGCCCGGCGUCUUGAGGGGGCUCGUCGUCCUCCCCUCACGCAGCCCCGGGUGGCGUGGAGCGGGGAAGCUGCGGUGAGCGAGCGCCUGUCGCCCCCUGCAGCCACCGGGGCACGGAGGGAAGGGGGCUUUGGGCCACCUGCUGCCCUCGGAAUGACAGAAUCAUUAAGGAGUGGGAAGAAAACCAGAAGGGUCCUAAAUAUUUUCCUCCAGGAAUGAAUGAGCACAAUGGCCCACAUGAACUGAAAAACAAAAACCUCCAGAAGGUGAUAAUCCUUUUUUACCACCAAAGCCUGCAGGAGCAAGCAUGAAAGGGAAGGACUUGCCUGAUCAAAUCGAAAUAAUUUCAUCCGUGAAGAAAUUCCUGCUGAUGUCCCACCUGAACCUCCCCUGGCACAGCUUGAGGCCACUUCCUCUUGUCCUGUCGCUGGAAAACCUUGGCUCGAGAGCAGAAGGGCUGAGGAGGAAUUGCCAAAACUCUGAGUUAAUUACGGCUGUUAGAUCUCAUCAUUUCCACCUUUCUCCUGGACAGUAUUUCACUAUGUGUGAGACACGUUUUAUAUUGGUUGUGAAUACAUAUGUGUGUAUAAAGUAUAUAUCUAUCUAUUAAAAUAUGUCUAUAUAAGCA